UACGGGGGGUGCGAGCGUUGUCCGGAAUCACUGGGCGUAAAGGGCGCGUAGGCGGCGCGAUAAGUUGGGCGUGAAAGGCCCGGGCUCAACCCGGGGACUGCGCUUGAUACUGUCGCGCUGUGAGUCCGGGAGAGGAUGGCGGAAUUCCCAGUGUAGAGGUGAAAUUCGUAGAUAUUGGGAAGAACACCGGUGGCGAAGGCGGCCAUCUGGACCGGCACUGACGCUGAGGCGCGAAAGCGUGGGGAGCAAACAGG
rnacentral:rRNA from 1 species